rnacentral:lncRNA from 1 species
GAUCGUGGAGGAGGACUGGAGGUGGAGGAGACAGAGUGUCCCCGCAGGCACGCAGCACGCCAGCACUGCAGCAACGAGAAGCGGCGCAGGGAGCGUCGUCGGCCGGCAAGAGGUGGGGGAGGCGGGAUCGUGGAUGAGGACUGGAGGUGGAGGAGACGGAGUGUCCCCGCAGGCACGCCAGCACUGCAGCAGCGAGAAGCAGCGCAUGGAGCGUCGUCGGCCAGCGAGAGGUGGGGGAGGCUGGAUCGUGGAGGAGGACUGGAGGUGGAGGAGACGGAGUGUCCCCGCAGGCACGCCACACUACAGCAGCGAGAAGCAAUGGUUUUGAAGUGUACUGUAUGUGUCUACUAUACUGAUUGUUACAUGUUCUUCCAUGUACCUGAAGACUUCGUUCUUCUUUCCUGCCUCGUAAAUAUUGCACUGGAGUAGUGGUUGUGGUGCCCUGUGGCAAAGAGCCACAGUUCUUUGUACCUAGGUUAAUAAUGAAAUUUCAUUGUGAUAUAGUAAAUGGCAGUAAAGUUCAGUUUCAGUCUCCAGUGGAAAAUUUUUG